GUGCUUGCUUUGGUAGCACAUAUACUAAAGUUGUAACGUUACAGAGAAGAUUAGCAUGGCCCCUGCACAAGGAUAACACACAAAUUCAUGAAGCAUUCUAUAUUUUU